AACUAUUUUUUCAAAGAUUUGCUUAAAAUCUUACGUUUGCUAGUGUUUAUGUUCAAACAACACACGUGACACACGUGACUAAACCUGAUUGGUUGUUGUCAUAGUAACACGUCACGGUGCUAUUUGAAAGCUGUAGUUGUUCAGUGAGUUCAGUUCACGAGGUGCAUGUGGUUGCUUGCGUUAAACGUAUAAACUGUUAAAUUAGAUGGCGACUCUGCAUUAAACGUAUUUAUUUAAUUAAUCGGCGAUCGUAUUUCACCAGAGGACUAAGAUAAAACAACUCGAUUUAAAAUGUGAGCAGUUUUAGUGGAUCUGACGUCGAGGGAAAAAGUAUUUCGCUUUUUGUUUGGAGAUGAACGAGACAACACGAGGCACAGCGACAUAAAUAUGACCAACCAGAUCCCAAGUAGACAGGAACAAAUGAAGAUACAGCGCAUAGAAAGACUUAUUCUUGGUGAUCAACUGCUAUUGACAUUUUUGAAUUGGGACAAUUGUGGAGUGAUUCGGAAGAAAAACGUUUGCAACACAUCCAUUCCAGAGUGCUCUGACAGAUACAACUGACACGCUUGAUGAGGACACAGUCAAAGCUUUAAAAGACCGUGUGAUAAAGCAGUCUUCAAUUACUACGGUGUCUGAAUUGCAAGAAGUGACCCUCCACUUAAACAUGUGACAUCUAAACUGUUUUGUGUUUUAGUUCAGCUUUUUAUAGGUUUAUCUUAAGUUGGUUAAAGGCAGAGUGCACUAUUUUUGAAAGCCAAUGUUAACAUUUGAAAUUACCUAAACAAACAUGCCUCUACCCCAAUAGAAUCGGGACCUUCUUUUGAUAGAGCCACCACACACAUACGCAUCCCCGGCAAGGAUGUCGGUUAGUAGACACACCCCUUACUGCUGGUUGGCUACAAGUGUGUUUUGGUAGUCGGCCCAAUUUCCUUUUCCAAAGCGUUUUUCAAACAUUGUGCACUCAGUCUUUAAAUUGCA